GAUGAACGCUAGCGGGAGGCUUAAUACAUGCAAGUCGUACGGUAACAGGUGUAGCAAUAACGAUCGCUGACGAGUGGCGCACGGGUGAGGAACACGUACGCAAUCUGCCGUCUGACUGGGAGAUAGCCCUGGGAAACUAGGAUUAAUACCCCGAUAACAGUCACGGUGUGGCAUCACAUUGUGAUUAAACCUCCGGGGGUCAGAGAUGAGCGUGCGUUU
rnacentral:rRNA from 1 species